rnacentral:rRNA from 1 species
UACAGAGGUCCCGAGCGUUGUUCGGAUUCAUUGGGCGUAAAGGGUGCGUAGGCGGCGGGGUAAGUUUGAUGUGAAAUUUCAGGGCUUAACCCUGACGGGUCAACGGAAACUGAAGGGCUAGAGUGCAGCAGAGGAAAGCGGAAUUCCCGGUGUAGUGGUGAAAUGCGUAGAUAUUGGGAGGAACACCAGUGGCGAAGGCGGCUCACUGGACCGGAACUGACGCUGAGGCGCGAAAGCGUGGGGAGCAAACAGG